rnacentral:rRNA from 1 species
GUCCACGCUGUAAACGAUGAGAACUAGACGUUGGCCAGCUUGGUCUGGUCGGUGUCGCAGCUAACGCGAUAAGUUCUCCGCCUGGGGAGUACGGCCGCAAGGUUGAAACUCAAAGGAAUUGACGGGGGCCCCGCACAAGCGGUGGAGUAUGUGGUUUAAUUCGAUGCAACGCGAAGAACCUUACCUGGUCUUGACAUGCUAGGAAUCCCGCAGAAAUGUGGGAGUGCCGCAAGGAACCUAGACACAGGUGCUGCAUGGCUGUCGU